CAAGAGAGAUGACAAUUUUUGUUGACAGGGUUGUAAUAUAAGUAGCCCCCCAGAAGGAACUGUCACUAUAACAUACGAAGAUUCUAAUCCCGUAGGAGAUACUAAUUACGUCGUUGGGACCUAAGUUAUCUAAGACGCAGAACCGAAUUGUUCAUAAAUUUCGCCUGAGCCCGAAUAUACAGUAACUGGGUCGAACGCUGUGAACAAGUAGACCAAACAAGCUGUACAACUGUUAAUACCGUUACGUCCAGAGGGUAAAUUUAUUAUAAACUUUCAAGUGUCGAAAUACCAAAAUUAGAUCAAUAGCCUGGAAUGCAGACGAGCAACCAGUAUUUGACGGCGAAAUGCUGUCGUCAAGGAUGCAUCUGAGGAAGUUGGAACGCUGCACAUACACUUUACGUAGUGUCGAAAACGUGUCAACAAUACCUCAAGUGGAAACUAAUUUGUUUUCAUAAAUUUCGUGUCUUCUAAUUGUUUCUUGCGUGCAUUAUAAAUGUGAGCUUUCUCAGAUAAAAGAUAGACAUUGGGAAUGAAGUAAUAUGCUUAGU